rnacentral:rRNA from 1 species
CGUUCCCGGGUCUUGUACACACCGCCCGUCACACCAUGGGAGCGGGUCUCGCCAGAAGUAGGUAGCCUAACCGUAAGGAGGGCGCUUACCACGGCGGGGUUCGUGACUGGGGUG